rnacentral:lncRNA from 1 species
AAGCUCAGAAGCUCAAUUUCAUGCUCAUUUUCUCACUUGUACUGAUUUUCUGGUUUAGCUAUUUGUUGAUUCUGUGUGUUGGAUUGAUGGGUUUCUUUGUUUAUGUAACAUGGGUUUGAGAAUGUGAUUUAUGUAGGAGAAUGUGUUUGAGCUGUUAAUGGUAGUUGAUUGGAUGCUUUAAGAUUUAAGGGGUUUGCUUAGAUUUGUUUGUUGUUGAAGCUUAUUUGAUUUUAGGGUUUUGAGUGCAUUUUUGACUUUUUUAUAGUCAAACCUAGUGAGUGUCAACUACAGAGGUUAAGAAUGAAAAUUGUUACAAAUGUAACAUAUCGAAAUGUUACAGAAUCCCAGUUAUGUAUGUCAGUUAUUGAACCUAUUCACAUGGUUUAUUAGUUAUCAUGUGUUUGGUUGCUUGACAUGUGGUUUUCAUGUGUUUG